rnacentral:rRNA from 1 species
GAGGACCGAACCGAAUAAGGUUGAAAAAGUAGCGGAUGACCUGUGGCUGGGGGUGAAAGGCCAAUCAAACCGGGAGAUAGCUGGUUCUCCCCGAAAGCUAUUUAGGUAGCGCCUCGUGAACUCAUCUCCGGGGGUAGAGCACUGUUUCGGCUAGGGGGCCAUCCCGGCUUACCAACCCGAUGCAAACUGCGAAUACCGGAGAAUGUUAUCACGGGAGACACACGGCGGGUGCUAACGUCCGUCGUGAA